rnacentral:rRNA from 1 species
UCCGUCCUACGGGGGGCAGCAGUGAGGAAUAUUGGUCAAUGGCCGGAAGGCUGAACCAGCCACGCCGCGUGAAGGACGAAGGUGCCAAGCAUUGUAAACUUCUUUUGUCAAGGGACAAAAUCAGGCUCGAGAGCCUGACCGAGGGUACUUGAAGAAAAAGCAUCGGCUAACUCCGUGCCAGCAGCCGCGGUAAUACGGAGGAUGCGAGCGUUAUCCGGAUUUAUUGGGUUUAAAGGGUGCGCAGGCGGGAGAUCAAGUCAGCGGUAAAAUGUCGGGG